CCUACGGGAGGCAGCAGUGGGGAAUAUUGGGCAAUGGGCGCAAGCCUGACCCAGCAACGCCGCGUGAAGGAAGAAGGCUUUCGGGUUGUAAACUUCUUUUAAGGGGGAAGAGCAGAAGACGGUACCCCUUGAAUAAGCCACGGCUACCUACGUGCCAGCAGCCGCGGUAAUACGUAGGUGGCAAGCGUUGUCCGGAUUUACUGGGUGUAAAGGGCGUGCAGCCGGAGAGACAAGUCAGAUGUGAAAUCCACGGGCUCAACCCGUGAACUGCAUUUGAAACUGUGUCCCUUGAGUGUCGGAGAGGUAAUCGGAAUUCCUUGGGUAGCGGUGAAAUGCGUAGAUAUAAGGAAGAACACCAGUGGCGAAGGCGGAUUACUGGACGAUAACUGACGGUGAGGCGCGAAAGCGUGGGGAGCAAACAGGAUUAGAUACCCCUGUAGUC
rnacentral:rRNA from 1 species